GAGGGCAUAGCUCAGUGGUAGGGUGCAUGCUUAGCAUGCAUGAGGUCCUGGGGUCAAUCCCCAAUACCUCCA
rnacentral:tRNA from 1 species